rnacentral:rRNA from 1 species
UACAGAGGGGGCAAGCGUUGUUCGGAAUUACUGGGCGUAAAGGCUCGUAGGCGGCCAACUAAGUCGGAUGUGAAAUCCCCAGGCUUAACCUGGGAACUGCAUCCGAUACUGGAUGGCUUGAAUUCGGGAGAGGGAUGCAGAAUUCCAGGUGUAGCGGUGAAAUGCGUAGAUAUCUGGAGGAAUACCGGUGGCGAAGGCGGCAUCCUGGACCGAGAUUGACGCUGAUGAGCGAAAGCUAGGGGAGCAAACGGG